GGAAGCCGGAUGAAUCGCGAGGUUCACGUCCGGUUUGACGGGAGCAGGAGGGGGAAGUUCCCUCCCUCCACCCUAC
rnacentral:ncRNA from 2 species